GCUGAAUGGUUGCCUCUGAUACACAGCACCCCAACUGCUCCCAGGGCAGAUGAAUGAAACUUUGUCAGAGAGCACUGAAUGAAGAAGAAAGAGCUCAUUUCCCUCCCCAGAUUCCUCCUGAAUUCACGGGAGCUGAACAAAUAGUAUCAGAAAGUGUAUCAGGACAAGAGAGAAGACAGAAGCACAUAGGCAGAUUUUGGGGAAGCUGAUGAGCAUCCGCUCCCAUCGCAGAUUUUUACAUUCAGGAUGAAAUCAGCAAAUUUUAGAGCUUGCCGAGAUUGAAACGAUGGUGUUUAGCGAUGCAGCCACGAGCACGCAGAGCCCAGCACUGCUUUGCUCCCAGUAAUGAGUCCCCCUGGGGGGUCACAGCCCCCACUGCAUGGGGCUGCCCAAAGCCCUUUGCCUUGUGGUAAGUCUGCUAACCCCACUCCAAUCCCUGCUGAAAACACCUCCAGCUGUCUCCAUGGGCAUUUGCACAGCCAGUCCAACCCCAUCAUCUUACCCAUGAGUGCCACAUAGCCUUUCACUGUACACCUAUCCUGCAAAACCCCAGGCUGAACCAGCUCUUGUGGUGUCAUUGGCAUCCAAAUCCCAUGGGAUGGACUGCCCUCUGCGCAGAUAAAUCCUUUUCUCAGUUCUCAAAAAACAAAGGCCUGGCACAUCGAGCAAUUUCUAUCAUUCCA